rnacentral:rRNA from 1 species
AAGCAUUCUCUGGUGUUGAAGGCCCUGCAAAGCAGCAUCGCGGUGGCGGAGCGUCGUUUGCGACGCCCAACACACAAAACAAGCGGUGAGUGCUUUGGGGUGGGGUGACUGCGUACCUUUUGUAUAAUGGGUCAGCGACUUAUAUUCUGUAGCAAGGUUAACCGUAUAGGGGAGCCGAAGGGAAACCGAGUCUUAACUGGGCGUUAAGUUGCAGGGUAUAGACCCGAAACCCGGUGAUCUAGCCAUGGGCAGGUUGAAGGUUGGGUAACACUAACUGGAGGACCGAACCGACUAAUGUUGAAAAAUUAGCGGAUGACUUGUGGCUGGGGGUGAAAGGCCAAUCAAACCGGGAGAUAGCUGGUUCUCCCCGAAAGCUAUUUAGGUAGCGCCUCGUGAACUCAUCUUCGGGGGUAGAGCACUGUUUCGGCUAGGGGGUCAUCCCGACUUACCAACCCGAUGCAAACUGCGAAUACCGAAGAAUGUUAUCACGGGAGACACACGGCGGGUGCUAACGUCCGUCGUGAAGAGGGAAACAACCCAGACCGCCAGCUAAGGUCCCAAAGUCACAGUUAAGUGGGAAACGAUGUGGGAAGGCUCAGACAGCCAGGAUGUUGGCUUAGAAGCAGCCAUCAUUUAAAGAAAGCGUAAUAGCUCACUGGUCGAGUCGGCCUGCGCGGAAGAUGUAACGGGGCUAAACUGUGCACCGAAGCUGCGGCAGCGACGCUUAUGCGUUGUUGGGUAGGGGAGCGUUCUGUAAGCCUGCGAAGGUGUCCUGUGAGGGAUGCUGGAGGUAUCAGAAGUGCGAAUGCUGACAUAAGUAACGAUAAUGCGGGUGAAAAGCCCGCUCGCCGGAAGACCAAGGGUUCCUGUCCAACGUUAAUCGGGGCAGGGUGAGUCGACCCCUAAGGCGAGGCCGAAAGGCGUAGUCGAUGGGAAACGGGUUAAUAUUCCCGUACUUGGUGUUACUGCGAAGGGGGGACGGAGAAGGCUAUGUUGGCCGGGCGACGGUUGUCCCGGUUUAAGCGUGUAGGCUGGUUUUCCAGGCAAAUCCGGAAAAUCAAG